rnacentral:rRNA from 1 species
GAUGAACGCUAGCGGCAGGCCUAAUACAUGCAAGUCGAACGAUAUUUUCCAGCUUGCUGGGAGAGAAAGUGGCGCACGGGUGCGUAACGCGUAUGCAACCUACCUUCAUCAGGGGGAUAGCCCGGAGAAAUCCGGAUUAAUACCGCAUAAAAUCACAGGAUGGCAUUAUCCAAUGAUCAAACAUUUAUGGGAUGGAGAUGGGCAUGCGUGUCAUUAGCUAGUUGGCGGGGUAACGGCCCACCAAGGCGACGAUGACUAGGGGAUCUGAGAGGAUGGCCCCCCACACUGGUACUGAGACACGGACCAGACUCCUACGGGAGGCAGCAGUAAGGAAUAUUGGUCAAUGGAGGCAACUCUGAACCAGCCAUGCCGCGUGCAGGAAGACUGCCCUAUGGGUUGUAAACUGCUUUUAUCCGGGAAUAAACCUCUGCUCGUGAGCAGAGCUGAAUGUACCGGAAGAAUA